CCCCUUCUUAGAAAUUUCUUUUUCCUAAAAGGUGGCAUACCUACUUGACAAAAUAUCUUUUAUCUAGUAGGAUGGUAGAAAUAGUAUCACAUACUACUCUUUAGAAUUAUCUAUAUACAAAUAAAAAUCUGUUCUAGCACAAACUUAUGUACAUCAACUCUUUUCACGUAAGUGGGCAACCUGCCUCUUCCCUUUCCAUAUAUCAUAUGGAGUGCUAGUAAC
rnacentral:lncRNA from 1 species